rnacentral:rRNA from 1 species
GGUCAAGUGAAGAAGCGCAUACGGUGGAUGCCUUGGCAGUCAGAGGCGAUGAAAGACGUGGUAGCCUGCGAAAAGCUUCGGGGAGUCGGCAAACAGACUUUGAUCCGGAGAUGUCUGAAUGGGGGAACCCAGCCAUCAUAAGAUGGUUAUCUUAAGCUGAAUACAUAGGCUUAAGAGGCGAACCAGGGGAACUGAAACAUCUAAGUACCCUGAGGAAAAGAAAUCAACCGAGAUUCCCUUAGUAGUGGCGAGCGAACGGGGACUAGCCCUUAAGUGGCUUUGAGAUUAGCGGAACGCUCUGGAAAGUGCGGCCAUAGUGGGUGAUAGCCCUGUACGCGAAAAUCUCUUAGUCAUGAAAUCGAGUAGGACGGAGCACGAGAAACUUUGUCUGAAUAUGGGGGGACCAUCCU